ensembl:lncRNA
GGAUUUGCAAAGAGAAAUCGCGUGAUUUUCGGGUUAAAUGGGGGAUUCUCGAAGAGAAAACGCGUGAUUUUCACUAAAAUGGGGGAUUCUCGAAGAGAAAACGCGUGAUUUUCGGGUUUAAAUGGGGGAUUUGUGAAGAGAAAAUGCGUGAUUUUUUGGUUAAAUGGGGGAUUGUCGAAGAGAAAACGCGUGAUUUUGCUUAAAUGGGGAUUUCCGAAGAGAAAACGCGUGAUUUUUGGGUUAAAUGGGGGAUUCUCGAAGAGAAAAUGCGUGAUUUUUUGGUUAAAUGGGGGAUUGUCGAAGAGAAAACGCGUGAUUUUUGCUUAAAUGGGGAAUUUCCGAAGAGAAAACGCGUGAUUUUUGGGUCAAAUGGGGGAUUCUCGAAGAGAAAAUGCGUGAUUUUUUGGUUAAAUGGGGGAUUGUCGAAGAGAAAACGCGUGAUUUUCGGCUUAAAUGGGGGAUUCUCGAAGAGAAAACGCGUGAUUUUGUGUUAAGUGGGGGAUUUCUGAAGAGAAAAUGCGUGAUUUUCAGGUAAUCUCGGUGAUUCUCAAAGAGAAAACGCGUGAUUUUGGGGUUAAAUGGGGGAUUCCUGAAAAGAAAGCACUUGAUCUUCGCUUAAAUGUGAGCUUCUCAAAGGGAAAACGUGUGAUUUUUGCUUAAAUGGGGGAUUCUCAAAAAGAAAACAUGUGAUUUUUGGGUUAAAUGGGGGUUUCUCGAUGAGAAAACGCGUAAUUUUCAGUUAAAUGGCGGGUUUCCAAAGAGAAAACGUGUGAUUUGCAAG